CGNNNNUUGAUCAAUUUAUAUAAGAGGUCCUGCCUGCCCAGUGACACCCGUUCAACGGCCGCGGUAUUAUGACCGUGCAAAGGUAGCGUAAUCACUUGUCCCUUAAAUAGAGACCAGUAUGAAUGGCAAAACGAAGGCUCAACUGUCUCUUUAAAUUCAUCAGUAAAAUUGAUCUCUCCGUGCAGAAGCGGAGAUUACCUUAUAAGACGAGAAGACCCUAUGGAGCUUCAAGCUUAAAUUAAUUAUAUCUAUUAAAAUAUAAUAAAUAAUAUAAUUACAAGCCUUUGGUUGGGGUGACCACGGGAUAAACCUAUCUCCCGAAACAAUAAACCUAGAAAGACACUUAUAAGUUAUAAUAUAAUUAAUAUAAUUGACCCAAUAUUUGAUCAACGAACCAAGUUACCCUAGGGAUAACAGCGCAAUCCUUUCUUAGAGUCCCUAUCGAUGAAUGGGUUUACGACCUCGAUGUUGGAUCAGGACCCCCAAAUGGUGUAGCAGCUAUUAAAGGUUCGUUUGUUCAACGAUUAAAGUCCU
rnacentral:rRNA from 1 species